rnacentral:rRNA from 1 species
AACGAACGCUGGCGGCAGGCUUAACACAUGCAAGUCGAGCGAGACCUUCGGGUCUAGCGGCGGACGGGUGAGUAACGCGUGGGAACGUGCCCUUCUCUACGGAAUAGCCCCGGGAAACUGGGAGUAAUACCGUAUACGCCCUUUGGGGGAAAGAUUUAUCGGAGAAGGAUCGGCCCGUGUUGGAUUAGGUAGUUGGUGGGGUAAUGGCCCACCAAGCCGACGAUCCAUAGCUGGUUUGAGAGGAUGAUCAGCCACACUGGGACUGAGACACGGCCCAGACUCCUACGGGAGGCAGCAGUGGGGAAUCUUAGACAAUGGGGGCAACCCUGAUCUAGCCAUGCCGCGUGAGUGAUGAAGGCCUUAGGGUUGUAAAGCUCUUUCAGCUGGGAAGAUAAUGACGGUACCAGCAGAAGAAGCCCCGGCUAACUCCGUG